rnacentral:rRNA from 1 species
CUGGCGGCGUGCCUAACACAUGCAAGUCGAACGAGAAAGUGGAGCAAUCCAUGAGUAAAGUGGCGACCGGGUGAGUAACACGUGACUAACCUACCUCCGAGUGGGGAAUAACUCCGGGAAACCGGGGCUAAUACCGCAUAACAUCGCAAGAUCAAAGCAGCAAUGCGCUUGGAGAGGGGGUCGCGGCUGAUUAGCUCGUUGGCGGGGUAACGGCCCACCAAGGCGAAGAUCGGUAUCCGGCCUGAGAGGGCGCACGGACACACUGGAACUGAAACACGGUCCAGACUCCUACGGGAGGCAGCAGUGGGGAAUUUUGCGCAAUGGGGGAAACCCUGACGCAGCAACGCCGCGUGGAGGAUGAAGCCCUUUGGGGCGUAAACUCCUUUCGACUCGGACGAUAAUGACGGUACGAGUGGAAGAAGCACCGGCUAACUCUGUGCCAGCAGCCGCGGUAAUACAGAGGGUGCGAGCGUUGUUCGGAAUUAUUGGGCGUAAAGGGCGCGUANGCGGUGCGGUAAGUCACCUGUGAAAUCUCCUGGCUUAACUGGGAGCCUGCAGGCGAAACUACCGUGCUGGAGUGUGGGAAAGGUGCGUGGAAUUCCCGGUG